rnacentral:misc_RNA from 1 species
AAGUCGUAACAAGGUUUCCGUAGGUGAACCUGCGGAAGGAUCAUUAUCAAUUUGAUUCAUUCAUCCUCUUGUGAACUUAAUCUUAACUCCCACUGCUUUGGGGAAAGCUCCGAUGACGGCCUCUUGGGGCCAACAUCGGGUCAGCUGGCUUUGGUCAGCCUGGUUCUAGUUCAUAAAUCCAGCUUGUCUGGCUUUCGAACUGACUUUCCCCAAAGUAUGGUUAAAUCUUACUUUUCUUUUAAAUUAAAGCUAAAAUCAAAGUCAUUGAUACAGUAGUGCAUAACAGCAAUACUUGUGUUAAUGAAUUAAAGUUUUACAACUUUCAGCAAUGGAUCUCUCGGCUCUU